UCUUCCAGCGUACCUUCCUCAUGCCUUGCUCUUGUCCUGUGACCUCGACCCCGUUCAUGUCCUCUGGUUCUUCGACUCCUGCCUCAGCCCCUGACGGAUAGUCUCUGCUAUCACGAUGACCCUCGCCUUUCUCCUCGGAUUUACGUCUCGUCUUACCCCUAACGGCACUUCCUGGUUCUCGAACCCCGUCUGUCUCCCAGAUUUCUGGUCUUCAGCCAACCCAAGCAUUCAGAUCUAGCAACUGGAUUUUCUUGUUGGACCUAUUCUAAAGAAAACAGAUUUCCGCCAUUUUUUUGGGUGUGGCUGUGGCGUAG